UCCAAAGGGCUGGUCUCACUCCCACAGUGCCUCCCCUAACAGCACCAAAUCUGUUUCCAGGCAGUGGGCAAGCAGGGCUGAGAAUUGCCCCAGACUACCCACCUCCCAGCUGCAAAGGAAAAGGGCUCAGUUCUUCCCCCACCUGUGGAGUCUGCAUGCUGGAUUCCCGUUCUCCCCAGAGUUCUGGCCAGGAGGCUUCUUGCCUGGUUCAAAUUGUUAUGAAGUUCAGCUGGAGACUUCCUUCUCCCUGUGGCAUUUUCCCCACACCUCUAGCUGCCCUCCUGAAGGAUCCUGGUGGUGCCAGCCGUUCCUCCCCUUCACCUCCACCUGAUUAUUCAUGUCGUGAAGAAACUGGUCUACUUGUCCUGUAGAAUCGCCCGUAUUGUGGAUUUGGCCAUUGCUUCUACAUGAUGAUAAGAGAAUGUUACAUUAGCAGAGACAUCCAUUAAACAGGAGAGCUGAGGCCAUCUGACGCUGAGAAUCACAAUAACAGGGACAAAGCCAAAAGGGAAGGAAAAUGGGGGCCAAAAUGGUGAGGGGAGCCAAAAAGCGUGAGAAGAAGCACGCUCAGCCUCACUGGCUCCUGACUUCUCUCUGAGUGAGUUCCGGCUUUCUGCAUCUCCCCUCCUUGCCCUGGCACCUCGGCCUUCAGGCAGGAUGGUGGGGUGAAGCCAGCGAGGGAGGAAGGUGCCGGGGCAUCUCCCCCUCUGCCUGCACUGCUGGGCUAACACUUACAAAGGAAGAUUUGAAAAAGUCUCUGAAACUGCAGGCUCAAAGAAAGGACAAAUGCACUUCCAAUCAAAUCAGUGUUGAAGGGGCAGCAUCUUUAUCAUCUGCCAUCCUUAAGAUUCAUUUCACAUUCAAAUAAAUAGAAAACUACUUGCAAAGGCAAAUUAGACCCAGAUUUACCCGCAGGUGGCAUUUCAUGCCAUAACUUGAUGGCACUUCAUCAACAUCGGCUUUUCUGGGCUCACUGAUUAGUUCAUGCUGUAUGAAAAGUGCUUUACCAUAAUUUUUCAUUAUCUUCACAAGUUAUGCCAUUUGGAAUCAUGUAAGGUGGCUAAUGUUUCAGGGAUUCUUUUAAACACUUUACAAUAAGAGAUUCAAAGGCCAACUGCUGGUGACUCAGGGACCAUUAAGACAUCUGAGACAUGACCAUGAUUAAAGAUUAGUUGCGAUAGUUAUUUGGAUAUUAUAGAGUCUUUGAAAUAUAGAAACACUCACACAAACUAAUGACGAUGAGCAUCCGGGGCUUGGUGUUUCUCUGUGUCAGCUGCAGUAGAGGUGGGCGGCUCUCAAUUCAGGCUCACUCCAUGUCAGUUUCACAAGAAAACGCCAGUGCUGCCCCCAGCUCCCCUAGCUGCUAGGGCAGGUAUUUCUAUUUUCCAUGCAGCACAGAAGAGGGGGCCUUACCACAGACACCAGGAAGAAUAAUGUCAAACCCAUAGCAAUCCAAACCUGGGAGAAGCUUGAAAACUGAGGAUUGGUCUUGUCAAUCCUACUGGCGGGUCUUGCCAGUUUUAAAAAAUGAAAUACAACAGAAUGCAACAGAAUGGGAAACAAUCAGAGCACAUUAAAAGAAUAAGUACUACUUUGUGAUACUUUUCAGUUAUGUAUGUGGGUAUCAGUGUGUACUGAGGGUUGAUGAGAAAUGUAUUUUUAAAAUGUGAGUCAAGUUAAAAGACCUCAAAGAAUGAUGCUCUAAGAAAUUAUAUACUGGAGACAGUCACGAUUAUAUAUUGGAUGACGAAAAACAAAAUAAAAAUUAAAAAUUAGAAAUUUAUAAUUUACCCCUGGAA
rnacentral:lncRNA from 1 species